CCGGGUUGCGGACAGUGUCUGGUGGGUAGUUUGACUGGGGCGGUCUCCUCCUAAAGAGUAACGGAGGAGCACGAAGGUUGGCUAAUCCUGGUCGGACAUCAGGAGGUUAGUGCAAUGGCAUAAGCCAGCUUGACUGCGAGCGUGACGGCGCGAGCAGGUGCGAAAGCAGGUCAUAGUGAUCCGGUGGUUCUGAAUGGAAGGGCCAUCGCUCAACGGAUAAAAGGUACUCCGGGGAUAACAGGCUGAUACCGCCCAAGAGUUCAUAUCGACGGCGGUGUUUGGCACCUCGAUGUCGGCUCAUCACAUCCUGGGGCUGAAGUAGGUCCCAAGGGUAUGGCUGUUCGCCAUUUAAAGUGGUACGCGAGCUGGGUUUAGAACGUCGUGAGACAGUUCGGUCCCUAUCUGCCGUGGGCGCUGGAGAACUGAGGGGGGCUGCUCCUAGUACGAGAGGACCGGAGUGGACGCAUCACUGGUGUUCGGGUUGUCAUGCCAAUGGCACUGCCCGGUAGCUAAAUGCGGAAGAGAUAAGUGCUGAAAGCAUCUAAGCACGAAACUUGCCCCGAGAUGAGUUCUCCCUGAGACUUAGAGUCUCCUGAAGGAACGUUGAAGACGACGACGUUGAUAGGCCGGGUGUGUAAGCGCAGCGAUGCGUUGAGCUAACCGGUACUAAUGAACCGUGAGGCUUAACCUUAC
rnacentral:rRNA from 5 species